rnacentral:lncRNA from 1 species
GAAAACAGUAAACAUACACACUUCUCAUUCUAAGGAGAGCUGUCAACCCCCAGGGUUGGAUGCUUCCCCCGAGUUUCCGACCUGCCUGGGAUUCCCUGUGUGCACCGCUAGCUCCAAGGUCACUGCCCAGGACUGAAAGGAGAAGGAGUUGUAGAGGAGGCAGAGAAUGAGACACCCCUGCUAAUGGUAUGCUAACGAGAGAAAUGGAGCAGGAGGUGGACUGCAGGAAGAAGAAGAUGGCCAUGGUGAGGACCAGUACGGAGAUGAAGAACAGAGAAUGGAUUCCAGGGAUGUCACAUCGCUGACAUUUCUAUUGCUUCAGCCUGGAAACUUCAUUAUUGGAGACAAUGGAAGUAGAUUUUUGUCUAAGCUGCAACUUCUACAGUAAAAAUACUGUGGA